UAAAUUUUAGUUUAAUUAAAACAUAAUAUUUACAUUAUUAAAAUAUUUUAAAUAAAUUUAA
rnacentral:tRNA from 1 species